rnacentral:rRNA from 1 species
GACGAACGUUGGCGGCGUGCUUAACACAUGCAAGUCGAACGGAAAGGCCCUGCUUUUGUGGGGUGCUCGAGUGGCGAACGGGUGAGUAACACGUGAGUAACCUGCCCUUGACUUUGGGAUAACUUCAGGAAACUGGGGCUAAUACCGGAUAGGAGCUCCUGCUGCAUGGUGGGGGUUGGAAAGUUUCGGCGGUUGGGGAUGGACUCGCGGCUUAUCAGCUUGUUGGUGGGGUAGUGGCUUACCAAGGCUUUGACGGGUAGCCGGCCUGAGAGGGUGACCGGCCACAUUGGGACUGAGAUACGGCCCAGACUCCUACGGGAGGCAGCAGUGGGGAAUAUUGCACAAUGGGCGGAAGCCUGAUGCAGCAACGCCGCGUGCGGGAUGACGGCCUUCGGGUUGUAAACCGCUUUCGCCUGUGACGAAGCGUGAGUGACGGUAAUGGGUAAAGAAGCACCGGCUAACUACGUGCCAGCAGCCGCGGUGAUACGUAGGGUGCGAGCGUUGUCCGGAUUUAUUGGGCGUAAAGGGCUCGUAGGUGGUUGAUCGCGUCGGAAGUGUAAUCUUGGGGCUUAACCCUGAGCGUGCUUUCGAUACGGGUUGACUUGAGGAAGGUAGGGGAGAAUGGAAUUCCUGGUGGAGCGGUGGAAUGCGCAGAUAUCAGGAGGAACACCAGUGGCGAAGGCGGUUCUCUGGGCCUUUCCUGACGCUGAGGAGCGAAAGCGUGGGGAGCGAACAGGCUUAGAUACCCUGGUAGUCCACGCUGUAAACGGUGGGUACUAGGUGUGGGGUCCAUUCCACGGGUUCCGUGCCGUAGCUAACGCUUUAAGUACCCCGCCUGGGGAGUACGGCCGCAAGGCUAAAACUCAAAGGAAUUGACGGGGCCCCGCACAAGCGGCGGAGCAUGCGGAUUAAUUCGAUGCAACGCGUAGAACCUUACCUGGGUUUGACAUGGAUCGGGAGUGCUCAGAGAUGGGUGUGCCUCUUUUGGGGUCGGUUCACAGGUGGUGCAUGCCUGUCGUCAGCUCGUGUCGUGAGAUGUUGGGUUAAGUCCCGCAACGAGCGCAACCCUUGUUCACUGUUGCCAGCACGUUAUGGUGGGGACUCAGUGGAGACCGCCGGGGUCAACUCGGAGGAAGGUGGGGAUGGCGUCAAGUCCUCAUGCCCCUUAUGUCCAGGGCUUCACGCAUGCUACAAUGGCUGGUACAGAGAGUGGCGAGCCUGUGAGGGUGAGCGAAUCUCGGAAAGCCGGUCUCAGUUCGGAUUGGGGUCUGCAACUCGACCUCAUGAAGUCGGAGUCGCUAGUAAUCGCAGAUCAGCAACGCUGCGGUGAAUACGUUCCCGGG